AAACAAUCUAAAUUUUUAUUAUAUGAUUAAUGUAUGUAAUUUAUUUUAAUAAAAAAUGAUAAAAAGUAUACAGAUUGUUAGCAAAUCUUUAUUAUUUAAAAUCAUUAAUCUCUUUAUAUAUCUUAAUCACAUUAGGUAAUUCCGUAGGUUUUAUUUAAGGAAAUAAUAAAUAAUAAUUUCAAUUUGAUAAAUGAAUUGUCCACAAUGGACGUACUAUAUAAUAGAACAUUUCUCCUAGCUAUUUAAUUUUGGACUAACAAAAUUCUCAAUUGAUUCUCAAGACGCCACGUAAGCAAAAUUAACAUUUUAAUUACGUAACAACUCAGCAAGACAUUUUUUAAAUUAGUAGAAACUACAUGUUAUAACUUUUUAAAUGUUUCUCUAUUAAUAUAUAGGGGAUUUAUAAUCAUAUAUUUAUUAAAAAUCAGACAGCUAUAUUUAAAUUUAAUUUUCGUAUUUAUUAACCUAUAAAUAUAAAUUACAAUUUGAUUUUGUUUACAUAACCAACAAAAAUGCAAUAAGUGAGGAAGAAAUUAACAUUUAUAUCAAUUAAUAUAUUUGGGAAAGUAAAAAAUACCUGUUGGUGUUUGAUUUAAUAUUCAAUGUAAAUUUAGAAAGUUAAUAUUCUAAUUUGAUUAUAUUUAGGAAACUAUUAUUAAUUAUUGAUUAUAAAUAAGGAGAAAAAUAUAUAAUUUUCAGCGACUCUUACAAAAAAUAGUAAACACAAAGAAUAAUGACUAGUUUUUUUUUUUUGACAACUACUAGUUUAAGCUUUUGUCGAGAAGAAAAAUGAGGAGUCUCCAACUUCUUCUUUAGUCAAAUCAAGAGUCUACGGUUUUUGGUUUAACCACUAUCCAUGUUCUAUUGCUCUAUUAGUUUUUUUCUAGAGUAUAACUCAUUAUUGUGGAUACAAAAAAAAAAUCAAAAGAAAAAAGAAAAACUGAAAAAUUCAUAGUUUCAAAGAGGUGCUUUUCAUAAGAUUUUAAUUAUAAAACUAAAAGAUGUUUCUUACACUCAAAUUUGAUUGGUGUAUUUAUUAUAUAUUUUAACAAUAUUUUGCCAGAAAAAUUUCGGGUUAUUAAAAAGGGCCUUUUUGUGAAUAUGGUCUCUGUAGAGUUUGAGAUGGCCAUGUCUCUAUCUUUGUAAGGGCAUUAGUUUGUAAAAAAAAUUUAAAUUAUUAUUACAUUUGUGAAACAAUCUGUCAUCUAUCUAAUGUGAUUGUUUUGUUUAUUAUUUAAGCAUAAAGAAUUUAUUUUUGAAGUUUUCUCUGUCUUAAAACCAUUUGAAUGCUUUUGAAAAUAUAUAUUUUUGAAAUAUGAGCCAGCCUUUGGAAUACUCCUCAGAAGACACUUGGAAGAUUCUCAAAAGACUCUUGUAAGACUCUUAGAAGACUUUUGGAAGACUCCCCGCGAAGUCUUCCGAAGUCUUUUGCCCAAGGUGGUACAAAGGAAUGAUGUCAAGUGGAGUCCAAGCUUAUCUAUGUUGAGGAAUGAUAUCUAGCUCCAUCUGUAAUAGUUUUGUUUAUGAUCUGUUUUAUGAUUUGUAUGUAUUAUUUUAUUUGUGAAUUCUUUUGUAAACUUGAAGAUAUGUUAAUCAAAAGAAUUUGAUAUAUAUGUUCAUGUGUUUCCCAAAGUACUUGACAUUAUUCAAGUUAUUGAUACAACAUACCAAGAAUUUUUAAGCAAUUCUACCCACUCAUAACAAAACACAAUAACACAAUAACUUAGUCAAAUUUACUAAAAUUAAGAGAGAAGACUUCAAGAAAACUUAGUCAAAUUCACGAAAGAUCAACUUGAAUUUUAAGUUAAAGUUGAAAUUUUUAAUCUUAUGUAAGUUAAAAAUUAUACCUUAUAAUCUAAAAAGACACAUUAAACCACGUGAUUUGAUAUUCUUGAAUUACUUUACAUUUUUGAAAGUUAAAAACAAACCUUGAAUUUACUUAACAUUCUUGAAAAUCUAACAUAGAAGAAUUCUUAAGAAGUCUUCUCGGAUUAGCUAGAAACAUUAGUAAACAUAAAUAUUUGAAAUCUCAUAAUUAUCACCAAAUAAGUAAUGAAUUUCAUCCAGGAGCCCCAAUAUUGACUAACAUGAAUUAAUAAGAAAAGUAAUUUUAAUUGUAGAGAAAAUGAAAGUUUAUUAAACAUUGACGUAGAAGACUUCAGUCUUCUAUUGAGGUCAUUAUUGCAUUUGCAAAUUUACGAAAGAAGACUUACACAUGAAUUAAUAAGAAAAUAUUUAAAUGUAAUUUUAAUUGUAGAGAAAAUGAAAGUUUAUUAAACAUUGACGUAGAAGACUGAAGUCUUCUAUUUAUGUCGUUUUUCCAAUUGCAAAUUUACGAAAGAAGACUUCUUAAGAAGUCUACUCUACAUAAGAAAUCAUGAGAAGUCUUCCUUUGUAAAUAUUGGCUUAAUUUUGAAUUUGAAAAAUUCUCGAAAAUGCCAAAGAAGACUUCUCGAGAAGUCUUCUCGGAUAAACAUGUUAGUUUUGCAAUUGACUGAAGUUUGUCAGAAAUUUGACUUUUUAUAGAAGACUUCUCGGGAAGUCUUCUCGGAGAAGACUUCUCAAUGUCGCAAGAAGUCUAUGUAUAAUACUUUUGCAAUUGACUAUAUUUGUUUUUUCCAGAGAAGAUUCUCUAGAAGUCUUCUCUCGUAACCAAAGGUUUGACCAAAACUCGAAACAAAAUUUGAGAAGACUUCUAAAGAAGACUUCUCAAGAAGUCUUUUCAUUAAUAUUAAAUGUUUCACUAUUAUUUUUGAAUUGAAAUAGUAAUCCACGCAGACUUCUUGAGACAGUUUUUUUUCCGAGAAGACUUCCCGAGAAGUCUCUAGAAAAAGUCAAAUUUCUGACAAACUUCGGUCAAUUGCAAAACUAACAUAUUUUUGCAAUUCUGGGAUUUUCGAAUUUUUUUCAAAAUAAAGGAAAGUUAGAAGAUUUCUAGGGAAGUCUUCUUGAUGGAGAACACAUCUAGCAAAGUCUUCUGAAAGUCUUCGCGAACAGAUCUGAGAAAAAAAAUGAUUUCGUACCUUGAGCCUGUGAGAUUACUUGUUUUGCUUCUCCAAGUACCCAGAACUUCACUACAAAAGCUACCAAGUCGUUAAUAACCACGAAUCAUGAGCUUCAAUGUGUCUAUGAACCUUACAAAUCUUGGAAUCAAAAUCUUAGUUUUUUUGGAUGAACUUGAAGAGAGAGUGAAAGAGAUGAGAUUUGUGUGCAUAAGUAAUGAGAUAUGAAGAGUAAAAAUCAAAAAUUUGGUACAUUAACAGCUUCAAAUUGGUUGUUCAUUGUGGUUAGUGUAUUGAUGGCAAUGACAAUAUUGUAAAUACUUGGUGAAGAUGAGGAUGAUAAGGUAAAAAAUCUUCUGCAAAAAAAAAAAGAAAAAAAAUGUAAUGGCAGUUUUGUGAAUAAUUCAAACUUCUAGGGUGAAUAUGGAAAAACAAAGUUUCAAAAAAAAACAUGGGUUAUUUUUGUGUUUGACUUGAAAUUUUAAGUCAUAUUUAAAAAAAGCUAUAUAAAUUUUUAUUAUAAACCAUUAGGAUAUCAUAUCUAAUGGUAAGACAUCAUCACAUCAACAAAGAGCAAAGCCAUGAACAUAUAUAUUUUCCUUAAAACAAGUUUUUACAUAUAUUUUGAUUAGCUAAUAAAAACAUAAUAAUUCAUUAAAGUUAUCUACUACAAUAAAUGAGACUUACUUCUCUUCUCUUGCGUCCAUGUCAGCAAAGUGGAUAGGCCAUUUCGCACCACGUGUCACCACACCAGAACAUUUGCGUUUCUUUUUUCCCCAGUCAUUCUCGAAUACAGUUAUUUGAACUGGGCUUUUUUACAUUUGAAAAUUAGGCCCUUAGUUAAAGGCUGCAUGUAAGAGACCCAUUGGGAAUUAGGUUUCGUCUUCCUCUUGCACCUGCGAUCUGAACGAUGAAAUUCCGGAGACUUCAAGCCCAGUUUCGAUCUUCGUAACUUUUCAACCGUCGAUAAAUAUGUUCUUUAAUGGCGACAAUAAAAUCUCCCCACUUUGUGCUCUUAUUUAAGUUUCUGUUGAUUCUGAAACAACCAUAGACACUAUAUAUCUAGAUCGUCCAUAACCCAAAGCUACAUCUCAUGGUCAUGGCUUCUUCAAAAUAUUAGAUUACGCAAUAACUCAAAUAUACGUUUCCAAAUUGGAGAUAUCUCAAGUCCUCCUUUCACAGUUGCCCGGCCAGUAUUACAACUCCUAAUUUUCUCACAAGCCAUAUUUUUUUUCCCAGUUUCACACCUUAAUUUACUUUUCUCCACACUGUUUGUUUAUUUCAGCGAUGGCAACUAUCCAAAUUGACAGGUAGAUAACCACUCAACAACCCUGGUUAUGUUUGACCAUUAGUUCAUUUUUGUUACAUGAUUAUGUGUGCAUUUUCUAAAGCAUCUCCCAACUCUGGAACGCGUGUCUUAGUGUGUUUGAUUGCGUCACAAGUCAGACUCGAUGAAAAACUUAUUGAUAACGGCUGUGAAGCCAAAAGUCAUCAUUGCAAGUUUGCAACCUACACUAAUCCUAAAUUAGUUGAAGGUUGUCUAUUACCCAGGGUAAUCUCCAGAACACACUCCUACUUUGAUAUGAAAGCCUGGUCAGGCAGAGUUACUUAACAAGUAAGAGGCUUCAAACGGGAGAUUUUGGAAUAAUUUUCAUCUCCACUACUCACCGCAGGUCUUGUGGAAGUGGCGUAAGUUGCUCCUAAAAUUCUUCCAAAUUUGGAGGUGUUCAGAUAAUAUAGUCAAUCACACUGGCUGCAUUCUCCACCACAAGUUCGGUUUCUUACAUCUUACAUUGCAUUAACUCUCAGCUGUGUUUUGAAUGUCACUUGCUCUACUCUAAUCAGUAUGCAACUAUAACACCACAGACCGUGGAGUCCCUCUGCACUCCCAAGUUGAUGGCAUUGAGAAUACUAACAGAUGGUGCUACAUAUCAUGUUCUAAUUGCUCACAAAAACUACAAUGCAGAUUCACAUCUGUAGGGUGCCGUUACGAGAAUGCUGUUGGGUUGUUUACCUGAAUUACCAUCACUGUGAAACCUCUCAUGAGGUGGACAGAAGAGGUGCAGAGAACACAACAUGUUGCCUUGAAGCUACAAUUGAUGAAGGAAGCACAAUGGACUCAACACCACUACCUUGUCAAACGGAGACAGUGAUAAGCAUCGACAGCAAAGCAAGUGGUGUCACGCGGAAACAACAACAAUGCAGCAGAAGUAUUAGCUAAUCAUCAUCAUCAAGUGAAAUAAGGGUUUGGGCAUGCUUAGUGUUGGGGUGAGAAAUCGUGUAACUUCAAUAGUUCAAUCUCUGUUUCUGGUGGUUUUAUAUUUGUCUAUUUCUAUUAACAAAAAUAAAAAUAACUUUUUAUUAUCAUAGUCUGCAAGUUAGGUGGUACUACUCCCGUUUAGCCUUAGACUUUAUCUAACAUCAAAAAAACCUACAUACUUAUUAAUUCUA